rnacentral:rRNA from 1 species
CAAAGAUUAAGCCAUGCAUGUCUAAGUACAAACCUUCUUUAGCGUGAAACCGCAAACGGCUCAUUAAAUCAGUCAUAAUUUAUUGGACGCAGUCUAUCCUUUCUCGGAUAACUGUGGCAAUUCUAGAGCUAAUACGUGCAUUAAGCUUUGACGCCGGUGGACUCGUUUCCAUCGGGGGAGGAGCGCAGUUAUUAGAAUCAUAAACCGAGGCGAACUCACGAGUUCGAAUGCUUUCGGUUAUGAUGACUCUGGAUAACUUUGCCGAGCGUUUAGGCCUCAGAGCCGGCGCCGCAUCUUUCGAGUGACUGCCCUAUCAGCUUUCGAUUGUAGGAUAUUGGCCUACGAUGGCUGUUACGGGUAACGGGGAAUCAGGGUUCGAUUCCGGAGAGGGAGCCUGAGAAACGGCUACCACAUCUAAGGAAGGCAGCAGGCACGCAAAUUACCCACUCCCGGCACGGGGAGGUAGUGACGAUAAAUACCGAUGCGGGACUCAUCCGAGGCCUCGCAAUCGGAAUGAGAUCACUUUAAAACGGUGGUCGAGGAUCGAUUGGAGGGCAAGUCUGGUGCCAGCAGCCGCGGUAAUUCCAGCUCCAAUAGCGUAUAUUAAAGUUGCUGCGGUUAAAAAGCUCGUAGUUGGAGUUUCGGUCCGUUCCGGCGGUCCACUUAGGUCGCGCCACUACCUUUCGUUCGCUCCGUUAGCCUUACUACACGCUUCCCGUUCGGGCGAGCCGCCGCUGAGACGCUCCUUUUUAUUAAUAAAAAGGGCGGCUGCUGCUGCGAGUCCUUACUUGGGGUUCCAGAGGCGUGGGGAGGUAACGGAGGCCGCGACGGGAGGUAGCUGCGCGCGCUACCGUUCGUGGAUUAACCGCUCGGUUACGGAUUUGAACACUUUAUUUCGUCGGCGCUCACGGGGUGCUCUUUACCGAGUGUCUCGCGUGGCCGACGACGAUCACUUUGAACAAAGUAGAGUGCUCAAAGCAGGCCAAAACCUUUAACGCCUGAAUAUUAAUGCAUUGAAUGAUGGAACAGGACCUCGGUUCACCUUUUUUUCUUCUCGGUUUUUCCCGAACCCGAGGUAAUGAUUAAAAGGAACGGUCGGGGGCAUUAGUACUGCGACGCGAGGGGUGAAAUCCAUUGACCGUCGCAAGACUACCUACUGCGAAAGCAUUUGCCAAGAACGCUUUCAUUAAUCAAGAACGAAAGUUAGAGGAUCGAAGGCGAUCAGAUACCGCCCUAGUUCUAACCGUAAACUAUGCCAACUAGCGAUCCGCGUACAGUCAUUCCCAAGACUGCGCGGGAAGCUCCCGGGAAACCGAAGUUUUUGGGUUCCGGGGGUAGUAUGGUUGCAAAGCUGAAACUUAAAGGAAUUGACGGAAGGGCACCACCAGGAGUGGAGCCUGCGGCUUAAUUUGACUCAACACGGGAAACCUUACCAGGCCCGGACACCGGAAGGAUUGACAGAUUGAGAGCUCUUUCUCGAUUCGGUGGUUGGUGGUGCAUGGCCGUUCUUAGUUGGUGGAGCGAUUUGUCUGGUUAAUUCCGAUAACGAACAAGACUCUGUCCUACUAACUAGUCGGGGGAUCGUUUCCCGAGACGGGUUUCUCCCUCCAGGCGUUCGGUGAAAGCGGCUCGGUGGACUCCAUUAUACCGCUUCUCCUCGUGGUUCGCGCGUUGUCGCGUUGCGUUGCGCCUGCCCCACGGCGACGGAUUCGUCCGGCGAAGUGGGGUUGGGUCGCGCGUUAGCGCGCUCUCGCGUUCUUUCGAGGGAAACGGGGUGGUGUACAAGCCGGGUGUCUUGCCACCGUCGCCGAAGAGGGGAUCCUAACGAGGGGCGUCUUUCGUAAAUCUUCUUAGAGGGACCCACGGUCUCGAACCGUACGAGAAAGAGCAAUAACAGGUCUGUGAUGCCCUUAGAUGUCCUGGGCCGCACGCGUGCUACAAUGGAGGGAGCAGCGUGCUUUCCCCCUCCGAGAGGAGUGGGUAACCCCAUGAAACCCCUUCCCGAUUGGGAUUGGGGGUUGCAAUGGUUGCCCAUGAACGAGGAAUCCCUUGUAAGCGCGAGUCAUAAGCUCGCGAUGAAUACGUCCCUGCCCUUUGUACACACCGCCCGUCGCUACUACCGAUGAAUGAUUAAGUGAGAGCGUCGAACCAGCGCCCUCGGCAGCCCUCGGUCGGUUCGCCGAUGGAGUUAGCGCCUCGGGCAAGCUGGAAAGACGUCCGAACUUGAUUAUUUAAGAGGAAAGUAAAAGUCGUAACAAGGUUUCCCGUAGGUGAACCUG